rnacentral:rRNA from 1 species
CCUACGGGAGGCAGCAGUGAGGAAUAUUGGUCAAUGGACGGAAGUCUGAACCAGCCAUGCCGCGUGCAGGAUGACGGCUCUAUGAGUUGUAAACUGCUUUUGUAUUAGGGUAAACACCCCUACGUGUAGGGGCUUGAAAGUAUAAUACGAAUAAGGAUCGGCUAACUCCGUGCCAGCAGCCGCGGUAAUACGGAGGAUCCAAGCGUUAUCCGGAUUUAUUGGGUUUAAAGGGUGCGUAGGCGGUUUGAUAAGUUAGAGGUGAAAUACCGGUGCUCAACACCGGAACUGCCUCUAAUACUGUUGAA